UUUGAUGGUGGCUGUGUGCAUGGCGCCUUCGGGUGCGCCGGAUUUGGGUGGUAAUCCGGUCUACUAACUUGCGCACAGCCGCCACCCUU
rnacentral:antisense_RNA from 1 species